CAUUGAACUGCAAAUCCCCAGUUAAAUCAAGAUUGUGUUGAUUAAGCUAUGUCUGAUUUAUGGCUUAAAAGUCACUUGGUUAGACUCAAACAUUGUUGCAACAUGCUAUAUGUUAUUCUUAACUAACAUUAUACAAAAUGCACAAUAAAGGUAGAUAAUGAGGAUCUUACACGUUAUUUGUACAUUUAUUGAAUACCUAUUUAUAAUCACGCAUGAUUUCUCCGCAACUGCAUUUUCUCCAGUUAAAAAAGAAACAAAAACAAUUUUUUUAAACCCUUGCAAGAGCAAAGAAACAAACUCAAACUAUCUCUUCAAUAUAACUGAUUUAGACUCUUUCCAUGUUACAGGUAUCUUGCCUGACUCCAAUUCAUGUUACAAUUAUCACUGCAAACAUCAGCAUCACUUUUUGUGGGACUCUCUUAUUUAUCAUCCCCUGCUUUAAGAAUACACUGUGUUCCGGUUGGUAUUCUCGGGCCCCACAACUCAUAGUAUUCCUUCUGGUGUUAAUUGCUUGUUGAUUUGCCUUGUUCUAAAUGCCCCUAUCAUGGUCUUUUCCACCCUAAGUAGCUAAAUAUAUUCAACGCUGUCAACCAUUCCUCGAUUCACUUUAUUUCCCUGAAAAAAUUUUUUAUGUCUUCUUGCAAAAAGAAAUCUUGUAGUAUAGUAGAAUUAAACCAUGCUGCAUUUAUAAAUAUUUGCUCUAGUGUAUUGAUGGCUCUCUUAAAAGCUGCCAUUCAGGCCGGGUUUGGUGGCGUGUGCCUGUAUUCCCAGUUACUUGGGAGGCUGAGGCAGGAGGAUCCCUUGAUCCCAGAGUUCAGGGCUACAACGAGCUAUGAUCAAUUGAGCCAAUGCACUCCAGCCUUGAAAACCCUGUCUCUAAAACAACAGUAACAACAAACAGCCAUUCAGAGUAAAUAGUAGGUACAAAAUAAAAUACUCCUUAUUGUAUACCUAGUAUAAUACAGAAGUUAAGAACUUGGUUUUUCAUAUGUUAGUGUGUUUAAUAUGUACUCUUUAGUAAACAGGUACUGGUAGCCCUUGGCUUUUAUAUCAUUGACUUUUCAAAUAACUGGCACAUGGAAUACUAUACGUGUCACCUCUGAAAUGCCAUUUAUAUACUGGAUUUUGACUUACGAACAUCAUUUGAUGAAUGCCUUUUUUGGGCUGUUUGUGUUGCUGUCUUGCCAAGUAACCCCCACCUGCUACAGAACUGUGACUUUGCCACUUUUGGCAAAAAUUUCAAAAAUUAUUUGGAAAAUUUUAUUGCUUUUUACCUUAUUUUAACAAAACAAGUGGAAAAAGGGGAAAUGAAAGCAUCUAGUUAUGAGAAAGUUUAUUAUCUUGAUAUAAAAUUGAGACAAUAAUCAUUAGAUGUGCUGAAAGUGAUGAAUCUUUAUUGGAAGUGCUGCAUGGAGUUAAGCUGAUGAAUUGUGAAAAAAA
rnacentral:lncRNA from 1 species